UAGUGCUUCAUCUCAUACCUAACACUUCUCUUCUCUUCUCCUCUCAAAUGGCGCUCUCCUCUUCCCCUCUCAUCUCGCUGCCGAACGACGAAACUGCUCCACACAUCAAAGAUCGCCGACGAUCGUCCCUGUUUUCCGUUGAUCUCCACCAAAAAGGAUGGACAUGAACAACCCAGUGGAAUGGAAGUUGAUGAUGAUGGUACUCUCAACCGUGUUUCCAAUGCAGAAGCUCAAGCAACUAGCAUUAGCAGUGAAAAGCAAGUAGGCACUAUUGUUGCAAAUAAUUUGCAGCAUCAGCAACUGCAUGAUGAGCUGGAGGAUCAAUUGUCAGAUUUUGGGGAUGAUGUGACUCCUGUUACAUCCCAAAAUGGUGCUAUAUUAAGAAGGAAGCUAAGGAUGGUAAUUGAUCCCAAGGAUGAUGAAUAGGAAUGCAGCAUGGGGUUAUUUUAUUUCAUUGUUGUUCCUAUUUUAGUUUUUUGGCUUGGAUGUGAUCAAAUAUGAUAUAGAUGUUGCACAUAGAAGAAUAUUAUUCAAGUGCCUAUGAUGGCUUUUGUAGACAGAAGUGCUACAUUGUGUUAUUCACUCUGACUCUUAGUCAACCAGAUUGAGUCAUCUUAAAGAUUAAAGAUUAUUUGAAAAUUGUAUAUGAAAA